AUUGCACGUCUAAGCAGUAAGGCUGAGUAUUAGGCAAAUCCGGUACUCGUUAAGGCUGAGCUGUGAUGGGGAGAAGACAUUGUGUCUUCGAGUCGUUGAUUUCACACUGCCGAGAAAAGCCUCUAGAUAGAAAAUAGGUGCCCGUACCGCAAACCGACACAGGUAGUCAAGAUGAGAAUUCUAAGGUGAGCGAGCGAACUCUCGUUAAGGAACUCGGCAAAAUGACCCCGUAACUUCGGGAGAAGGGGUGCUCUUUAGGGUUAACGCCCAGAAGAGCCGCAGUGAAUAGGCCCAAGCGACUGUUUAUCAAAAACACAGGUCUCUGCUAAACCGUAAGGUGAUGUAUAGGGGCUGACGCCUGCCCGGUGCUGGAAGGUUAAGAGGAGUGGUUAGCUUCUGCGAAGCUACGAAUCGAAGCCCCAGUAAACGGCGGCCGUAACUAUAACGGUCCUAAGGUAGCGAAAUUCCUUGUCGGGUAAGUUCCGACCCGCACGAAAGGCGUAACGAUUUGGGCACUGUCUCAACGAGAGACUCGGUGAAAUCAUAGUACCUGUGAAGAUGCAGGUUACCCGCGACAGGACGGAAAGACCCCGUGGAGCUUUACUGUAGCCUGAUAUUGAAAUUCGGCACAGCUUGUACAGGAUAGGUAGGAGCCUUUGAAACGUGAGCGCUAGCUUACGUGGAGGCGCUGGUGGGAUACUACCCUAGCUGUGUUGGCUUUCUAACCCGCACCACUUAUCGUGGUGGGAGACAGUGUCAGGCGGGCAGUUUGACUGGGGCGGUCGCCUCCUAAAAGGUAACGGAGGCGCUCAAAGGUUCCCUCAGAAUGGUUGGAAAUCAUUCAUAGAGUGUAAAGGCAUAAGGGAGCUUGACUGCGAGACCUACAAGUCGAGCAGGGUCGAAAGACGGACUUAGUGAUCCGGUGGUUCCGCAUGGAAGGGCCAUCGCUCAACGGAUAAAAGCUACCCCGGGGAUAACAGGCUUAUCUCCCCCAAGAGUUCACAUCGACGGGGAGGUUUGGCACCUCGAUGUCGGCUCAUCGCAUCCUGGGGCUGUAGUCGGUCCCAAGGGUUGGGCUGUUCGCCCAUUAAAGCGGUACGCGAGCUGGGUUCAGAACGUCGUGAGACAGUUCGGUCCCUAUCCGUCGUGGGCGUAGGAAAUUUGAGAGGAGCUGUCCUUAGUACGAGAGGACCGGGAUGGACAUACCUCUGGUGUACCAGUUGUCGUGCCAACGGCAUAGCUGGGUAGCUAUGUGUGGACGGGAUAAGUGCUGAAAGCAUCUAAGCAUGAAGCCCCCCUCAAG
rnacentral:rRNA from 1 species